AUUGAACGCUGGCGGCAGGCCUAACACAUGCAAGUCGAACGGUAACAGGGAUCAGCUUGCUGAUUCGCUGACGAGUGGCGGACGGGUGAGUAAUGUCUGGGAAACUGCCUGAUGGAGGGGGAUAACUACUGGAAACGGUAGCUAAUACCGCAUAACGUCGCAAGACCAAAGAGGGGGACCUUCGGGCCUCUUGCCAUCGGAUGUGCCCAGAUGGGAUUAGCUAGUAGGUGGGGUAACGGCUCACCUAGGCGACGAUCCCUAGCUGGUCUGAGAGGAUGACCAGCCACACUGGAACUGAGACACGGUCCAGACUCCUACGGGAGGCAGCAGUGGGGAAUAUUGCACAAUGGGCGCAAGCCUGAUGCAGCCAUGCCGCGUGUAUGAAGAAGGCCUUCGUGUGGUAAAGUACUUUCAGCGGGGAGGAAGGGAGUAAAGUUAAUACCUUUGCUCAUGGACGUUACCCGCGGAAGAAGCACCGGCUAACUCCGU
rnacentral:rRNA from 1 species